UCUUAUGGAUGAACAAAAAAGGUGGUUUCUUGAGAUAGAAUCUACCAUUUCCUGGUGAAGACACUGUGAA
rnacentral:pre_miRNA from 1 species